rnacentral:rRNA from 1 species
CCCUUAGAUGUCCUGGGCCGCACGCGCGCUACACUGAUGCAUUCAACGAGUAUUUCCUUGGCCGAGAGGCCUGGGCAAUCUUUUAAACCUGCAUCGUGAUAGGGAUAGAUUAUUGCAAUUAUUAAUCUUGAACGAGGAAUUCCUAGUAAACGCAAAUCAUCAAUUUGCAUUGAUUACGUCCCUGCCCUUUGUACACACCGCCCGUCGAACCUACCGAUUGAAUGGUCCGGUGAAAUCUCGGGAUUGUGGCCAGUUCACUUUAUUGGGAGUUGGCUGCGAGAACUUGCUUAAACCUUAUCAUUUAGAGGAAGGUGAAGUCGUAACA